GACGAACGCUGGCGGCGUGCUUAACACAUGCAAGUCGAACGGAAAGGCCCUGCUUUUGUGGGGUGCUCGAGUGGCGAACGGGUGAGUAACACGUGAGUAACCUGCCCUUGACUUUGGGAUAACUUCAGGAAACUGGGGCUAAUACCGGAUAGGAGCUCCUGCUGCAUGGUGGGGGUUGGAAAGUUUCGGCGGUUGGGGAUGGACUCGCGGCUUAUCGGCGUGUUGGUGGGGUAGUGGCUUACCAAGGCUUUGACGGGUAGCCGGCCUGAGAGGGUGACCGGCCACCUUGGGACUGAGAGACGGCCCAGACUCCUACGGGAGGCAGCAGUGGGGAAUCUUGCCCAAUGGGCGGAAGCCUGAUGAAGAAGCGCCGCGUGCGGGAUGACGGCCUUCGGGUUGUAAACCGCUUUCGCCUGUGACGCAGCGUGAGUGACGGUAAUGGGUAAAGAAGCACCGGCUAACUACGUG
rnacentral:rRNA from 1 species